rnacentral:rRNA from 1 species
GAUGAACGCUGGCGGCGUGCCUAAUACAUGCAAGUCGAGCGAACAGAUAAGGAGCUUGCUCCUUUGACGUUAGCGGCGGACGGGUGAGUAACACGUGGGUAACCUACCUAUAAGACUGGGAUAACUUCGGGAAACCAGAGCUAAUACCGGAUAACAUUUGGAACCGCAUGGUUCUAAAGUGAAAGAUGGUUUUGCUAUCACUUAUAGAUGGACCCGCGCCGUAUUAGCUAGUUGGUAAGGUAACGGCUUACCAAGGCGACGAUACGUAGCCGACCUGAGAGGGUGAUCGGCCACACUGGAACUGAGACACGGUCCAGACUCCUACGGGAGGCAGCAGUAGGGAAUCUUCCGCAAUGGGCGAAAGCCUGACGGAGCAACGCCGCGUGAGUGAUGAAGGGUUUCGGCUCGUAAAACUCUGUUAUUAGGGAAGAACAAACGUGUAAGUAACUGUGCACGUCUUGACGGUACCUAAUCAGAAAGCCACGGCUAACUACGUG